CACAGGAAAAGUAGCUGAAGUCCUUAGUCAGAUCUUCAGGAUUUAUGACCUCAAGGAACAAGUUGAUGUCCAUGUCAAACGUGCUGCUGUCCUCUGUGCUCCCUGCAUAUCUGCAUAUCUACAUGAGGAUGACUCUGGAUUUCUGAAGCAAUGGGAUGUGGCGUAGUCUGACGAACCAAACAUUGGCGAUGUACCAAUUGGGCUCCUCUUGAUCAGUGCCAAUUCAACAGAUGCCAUGUUCUUCUGCCCAGAGAGGACUGUGGUCCUGCUUGAGGGUAACAUAGUUAUUGAUUUACCCACAUUUGCUGACGCAUUUGUCAUGCUUUUUGCACUGAUUUAUGCGCUGCAUCUAAGUUACUCUGCCAAUACAAUUGACUUUACCCAGAAAGUCUUAUUGGGCCCAGAGGAUGGGAAGCUGAGGGUGUUGAACCUUAAAAAUGACCUUUUGGCAGUGGAGUAAUCUCAAGUGUAUGGACAAACAGGUUGCUCCUUAACUUGAGAUCUCUUUCAUGUACACUUGCACCACAGUCAUUUUUUUGCACAGAGAAAUGAAAGGAGUUUCUUCUGUUUUGGAAACAUCUUAGAGAUGUGUUUUGAAAGUAUUAUUUUUCUUCAAUUUUGAAUGUGUUAUUGUUCAAAAGUAAUUUUGAUGUAGUGUUUGUAGUAUAUGAAUGUGUAAACCAGAAAUGGCUACAGCAGUACACACAGUAUGGUGAACAUUUUAUAUGAACAUUUAGUAUGCACAUUUUGCCAUACUGUUUGCCAUUUCUGUGAUAUGUCACUAUAGGAAAUGUGGUAAAUCAAUGAACAAAACUGUUUAUGGCAAUAUUGGAUUUUUAUGACUUUAGCAUCAAGUGAUGAAGUACCUUGACUUUGUAAGUUAUUCCAAUUGCUGAAUUAGCCAAACACAGAUAUUCCUGUCUGGUUAUUUUAUCCAUAAACAGUUUUUUAAUUGAUUUUUCCAGAAAAAUCAAUUGGUAAAUGGUAAGAUUGGUAUUGGUAAGAUCACAUACCAUGCGUUCAAAUAGAGUAACUUAUGUUUAAAUCAUCUGUGUUAACCUGUUUUUAAUGUUUACUCAAAAUAUGUUUGUCUUUUUGAGUCAAAGCUACUUAAUACAAUUUAUGUAAUCUGUUUCAAAAAAUGUGUUAAGUUCCUUAAAAUGGAAUUUUGAGUUAAUAUUAAGUGAAAUAUUUAAGUAUAGGGAGGAUUGUACAGCUUUGUUGAACUUAAACAAAUUAAGUUAACAUAAAGUGAACAUUGCCUUACUGAGAAAUGAAAUGUUUUCUGUUAAAGUAACAAAAAAAUUACAGUUAGUUAUACUUGAUUUUCAUUAGUACUCUGAAAACAAAAUACUGAGUAAAAAUAACAUAAUUAAGAAUGUUUGCGUAACUUAGAAAAUUGAGUAUGUGUCACUUGAAAUUACCUAGUAAAACUACUUGAACUAGUAUGUUUCUUUAACUUACAAAAUGGAGCAAAUAUCACUUAAAAUUUUCGAUGUAGUUCAGUUGCUCAGAUGUUCAGUUUCAACAAAUCUUUUGAGUUAGAUUAACUUAUCAGAUUUUACAGUGUAAUAUGUUUUCAAAAGCAGCUUUUUUCACUUACAACUUCUGUGCAGGGAGAAUUAAAGUGUCAAAAUGUUUGUGGAUACACAUGCAUUUUAUGGGU